rnacentral:lncRNA from 1 species
GUCUGCUACAGCUUAUAGCAACACCAGAUCCUUAACCCACUGAGUGAGGCCAUUGAUUGAACCCACAUCGUCACGGUUCUUAACCUGCUGAGCCACAACAGGAACUCCUGUUUUAUUGUUUUUUAAAUGCCGGCACCACAGAUACAAUGGGAAUUUUUUUUUUAAUCUAAGUAUUUCUCACACAAACUUUUUUUUAAUUGUUAUUUCCCCAAUACAAUUUGUUUUCUACUGUACAGCAUGGUGACCCAGUUACACAUACAUGUAUACAUUCUUUUUCUCUCAUUAUCAUGCUCCGUCAUAAGUGACUAGACCUAGUUCUCAGUGCUACACAGCAGGAUCUCAUUGCUAAUCCAUCCCAAAAGCAAUAGUUUGCAUCUGCAGUGGGAAUUCUAUUUAGCACAUCAGGCUGUUCUGAGGAAAGCAUCCAGCAUAUAGUAGGUGCAUAAUAGGUGUUAAUUCCCAUCUCACCUGGUGCCUCGUGUAACCCACCAUCAUGGGCUGGAUAAUGGUGCCCAAAGAUUAUCAGGCACAGGAGAGGUUCUUGGGAUUUUUUCCCAGGCAAAACCAUCCUCUGAGGCUGAACUUGGAUGGAGAGGCAGAGGCUUCCCCAAGGGGAAGACAAAAAUGUAAGGAAUUCAGCUUCAUGGAGCAAAUAUGAGGCAUAAGACACAGAUGGGCUAGAACAAGUCAUGACAAAGAAAUGCUUGUGAAUGAAUGUGGAAUUUUCAGCGCCUGGGUGUAAGGCACGGAAUGAAGAUUAUCUGACUGUUAGAUGAUCACGUUGUUAUUACUCUUAGGGAGCCUGUCUUACCAAUGAGGGGUCUUAGGCUUAGUGAGUCUGCCCCAGGUCACAGAGCUAGAAGGGGCAGAGCCAAGACUUAUACCCCAGGUCUCUGGGAUUUCAAUUCACUUUCUCGAAGUCGGCUGAAGACCAGGGAAGGUGUUCCAGGUGUGCCUGCCUGAGGGUGAUAUUUCUUACCUCUUUUCACCCUUUAUUUAUUUUAAAUUUUCAUUGUUUUAAAAAAUUUUUUAAUUAUAGUUGAUUUACAAUGUUGUGUCAAUUUCUUCUGUAUAGCAGUGACCCCGUCAUAUAU